AACGAACGCUGGCGGCGUGCCUAACACAUGCAAGUCGAACGGGAAAACCCGCAAGGGUGAGUACAGUGGCGCACGGGUGCGUAACACGUGGGUAAUCUGCCCAGAAGCCCGGAAUAACUCCCCGAAAGGGGUGCUAAUGCCGGAUGAGACCACGGGGACUUCGGUUCCUGGGGGAAAAGGUGGCCUCUGUAUACAAGCUAUCACUUCUGGAUGAGCCCGCGGCCCAUCAGCUAGUUGGCGGGGUAAUGGCCCACCAAGGCUACGACGGGUAGCUGGUCUGAGAGGAGGAUCAGCCACACGGGAACUGAGACACGGUCCAGACUCCUACGGGAGGCAGCAGUGGGGAAUCUUGCGCAAUGGGCGAAAGCCUGACGCAGCAACGCCGCGUGUGUGAUGAAGGUCUUCGGAUCGUAAAGCACUGUCGGGAGGGACGAAUAAGGGCCGGGUGAACAAUCCGGUCUGACGACGGUACCUCCAAAGGAAGCACCGGCUAACUCUGUGCCAGCAGCCGCGGUAAGAC
rnacentral:rRNA from 1 species